CAAUAGCGUGUAUUAAAGUUGUUGCAGUUAAAAAGCUCGUAGUUGGAUUUCUGGUGGGAGCGAUCGGUCUGGCGCUUAGCGCGAGUACUUGCAUCGUCUCCGGCCAUCCUUGGGGAGAGUCUGUCUGGCAUUAGGUUGUCGGGCAGAGGAUCCUCAUCGUUUACUGUGAAAAAAUUAGAGUGUUCAAAGCAGGCUUAUGCCGUUGAAUAUAUUAGCAUGGAAUAAUAAGAUAGGACUUUGGUACUAUUUUGUUGGUUUGCUCACCAAAGUAAUGAUUAAUAGGGACAGUUGGGGGCAUUCGUAUUCCGUUGUCAGAGGUGAAAUUCUUGGAUUUACGGAAGACGAACUACUGCGAAAGCAUUUACCAAGGAUGUUUNCAUUAA
rnacentral:rRNA from 1 species